GGCCAGCUGGUGAAGUGGUUAACACAUCGCCCUCUCAAGGCGACAUUCGCGGGUUCGAACCCCGUGCUGGCUA
rnacentral:tRNA from 1 species